AAAUUUCGGAAGAUUUUGAAGUUUUGCUUUAGAGAAGUGCCCUUGCUGUGGGUCCGCCCCCCUUUGCCUUAUGAUCGUUCCGGCAUCCCUGGAUACAUGUAGUCUACUGUAGCUAGCGCGAAACUUUUCAACAGGUCGUGUUAGUUGUGCACGUCCCAAAUAAGACAGCUGGUAUAUAAUAGUGUAAUAGCUAUGCAUACACUGCGUGUACGUAGAAUACGAUCACAAAUAAGUCGAACUUUCUAUCGGUUGCUAUAUUUAGCCUAAAUCGACAUUGCUUGUGAGAAAUCGCGAACGGAAUCAAAUAUGUUGUAUAUAAUUUUUCCAUUUUGUAAUUAUACCUAAUUCUUGUAAACCAAUUUUAG